UCAACGUCUUCACAGGUCAGUCCCCUGUCCCCCUACACCAGUCUCUAUCAGCAUCAACGUGAUCACAGGUCAGUCCCCUGUCCCCCUACACCAGUCUCUAUCAGCAUCAACGUCAUCACAGGUCAGUCCCCUGUCCCCCUACACCAGUCUCUAUCAGCAUCAACGUCAUCACAGGUCAGUCCCCUGUCCCCCUACACCAGUCUCUAUCAGCAUCAACGUCAUCACAGGUCAGUCCCCUGUCCCCCUACACCAGUCUCUAUCAGCAUCAACGUCAUCACAGGUCAGUCCCCUGUCCCCCUACACCAGUCUCUAUCAGCAUCAACGUCAUCACAGGUCAGUCCCCUGUCCCCCUACACCAGUCUCUAUCAGCAUCAACGUCAUCACAGGUCAGUCCCCUGUCCCCCUACACCAGUCUCUAUCAGCAUCAACGUCAUCACA